UGAAUAGAUAUUUAAAAUUAUAUAAAUGCAUCACAAGAUGCUUACACAAACCAAUCAAUCGCAAUAAUUAAUGAAACAUCUUCUACUGGAACUCCUACGGAAUUUAAUACCAUUAUUAACAUUACAUAACCACCGCUUGAAAUACAAACCAGAUUAUAAUAAUUUUAAAUAAUGAAAAUUGUAACCCAUGCAAUUGAAUUAUGAAAAUUGCACCAAUACUUUCAUAUAGUGCUAUACCAUCCAUGUUUAUAGUUGCACCAAUUGGUACAAUAAAUCUAGAUAUUUUAGAAGGUAUUCCAAUAUGUUUUAAGCAUGAUAUUGUUACUGGAACUGUAGCUGUACUAAAAUAUAAUUGUUAAAUAUUUAUAAUUUUAUUAAUAAGUAAUAAAAAUAAAAAUAUAUUUAUUUUAA